rnacentral:rRNA from 1 species
UACGAGGGGGGCAAGCGUUGUUCGGAAUUACUGGGCGUAAAGCGCACGCAGGCGGUCUAUCAAGUCAGAGGUGAAAUCCCGGAGCUUAACUUCGGAAUUGCCUUUGAAACUGUUAGACUAGAGUACGGUAGAGGGUGGUGGAAUUCCUAGUGUAGAGGUGAAAUUCGUAGAUAUUAGGAGGAACACCAGUGGCGAAGGCGGCCACCUGGACCGUUACUGACGCUCAUGUGCGAAAGCGUGGGGAGCAAACAGG